UACGAAGGGGGCUAGCGUUGCUCGGAAUGACUGGGCGUAAAGGGCGCGUAGGCGGCUUGCACCGUCAGAUGUGAAAUUCCUGGGCUUAACCUGGGGGCUGCAUUUGAUACGUGUGGGCUUGAGUGCGGAAGAGGGUCGUGGAAUUCCCGGUGUAGAGGUGAAAUUCGUAGAUAUUGGGAAGAACACCAGUGGCGAAGGCGAGUCCCUGGACAGGUCCUGACGCUGAGGCACGAAAGCUAGGGGAGCAAACAGG
rnacentral:rRNA from 1 species